ACCAACUUUAACCCACACGCCAAAGUACAUCUGAUCUCUCUCUCUCUCCCUCAUUUUCUUUUUCACUUUCCUCUUUUUUCUUUUCUUUUCCUUCUCCUCCUUUCUUUUCCUCCAUUUUUUCUUCUUCAGCGUCUUCGUCUUUCUUCUUCUUCUGCUAAUGCUGAAACGAAGAAGCUAAAGAGAGAAAACUCUUGGUGGAUCUGUACUGUACCACACGGUGCCCAGCUCCAACAUGAUCAUGAUCAAGAUUAUUUUUAGUUUCUCUCUCUCUAUGCUCCCCCUCAUGAUCUUUGCUUGUCUAAUUAAUUUUGGAUAUGCAAGGAAUAUCACUCAGUUUGAUCUCACUUGCUUUAAUAGAAGCUCUAAAUAUAAAUAUGUAUGUAGAUAUGUAAUUUUACCUUCUGCUACACUCUUGGUGUUGGGGGCCUGGAUUUCUUUUAGAGAUUGGGUUUUCAGGAAGUGUAAGAUUGUGUAAAAAUUGGGCUAUUGGAUCUUGUAUGCUUACACUUAAGUUUUUUAAUGAAGUUGGACAAAUUAAUAUUCA